AAAUAAAAUAAAAUAAAUAAAGCCGAACUGUUUUUAUUUGUGAGUACUCUCUUUCUAUUUUUCCUUUCUUUUCUGUUGUGAGUGCAUUUUUUUUUUUUAUCUGGUCUGACUCUCUCCAGAACUCUACGUUUCUUUUCUGGUCCUUUAUCCGCAAUUGGAUCCAUACUCACAGGAAUUGACUACAUAGGUCUAGGCCGUGUGAUGGUGUUUGCUAAUGGGGGAUUACUCCCAAGCUUUGGAAGAAUUAUCAAGAGAGCAAUAAGGUUGGAGACACGAAAAGGCAGUCACGGGGUUGCAAUUGCAUAUGUUGAUGUGGUCAGCACAAUCAUCUUUCAACACUUGAGUUUAACACUUGUGCUAGGCACCCCUAAAAUAUUGCAGAAGAGAUUCAGUGCAAAGGGGCUGUUAUAAAGCAAAUGUUCCUCAAAAGUAUGCCAGGAGAUGAGAGGAUUCCUAUAGUGCUCAUGGAUAAUGACAUUAUUUCCCCCCUCUUUUAUAGAAAGAACAAAUAAAAUAAGAUUUGAAUUUUUCCUUUGAUUGUCCAUUUACUUGGCAUCGUUAUGAUUCAAACAUAUUUCACAUUUUGAGAGGAAAAAAAAAAUUAAAAUGGAUUUCAAUGAACAACUUUUUUCUCCUAUUA